rnacentral:rRNA from 1 species
AGACAAUAGAUACCCGGGUAGUCCACGCCGUAAACGAUGAAUACUAGGUGUAGGGGUUGUCAUGACCUCUGUGCCGCCGCUAAACGCAUUAAGUAUUCCGCCUGGGGAGUACGGUCGCAAGAUUAGAACUCAAAGGAAUUGACGGGGGCCCGCACAAGCAGCGGAGCAUGUGGUUUAAUUCGAAGCAACGCGAAGAACCUUACCUAGACUUGACAUCUCCUGAAUUACUCUGUAAUGGAGGAAGCCACUUCGGUGGCAGGAAGACAGGUGGUGCAUGGUUGUCGUCAGCUCGUGUCGUGAGAUGUUGGGUUAAGUCCCGCAACGAGCGCAACCCUUAUUGUUAGUUGCUACCAUUUAGUUGAGCACUCUAGCGAGACUGCCCGGGUUAACCGGGAGGAAGGUGGGGAUGACGUCAAAUCAUCAUGCCCCUUAUGUCUAGGGCUACACACGUGCUACAAUGGUCGGUACAAUGAGGUGCAACCUCGCGAGAGUGAGCAAAACUAUAAAACCGAUCUCAGUUCGGAUUGUAGGCU